AACGAACGCUGGCGGCAGGCUUAACACAUGCAAGUCGAACGCCCCGCCAGGGGAGUGGCCGACGGGUGAGUAACGCGUGGGAACAUACCCUUUUCUACGGAAUAGCUCUGGGAAACUGGAAUUAAUACCGUAUACGCCCUACGGGGGCAAGAUUUAUCGGGGAAGGAUUGGCCCGCGUUGGAUUAGCUAGUUGGUGGGGUAAAGGCCUACCAAGGCGACGAUCCAUAGCUGGUCUGAGAGGAUGAUCAGCCACAUUGGGACUGAGACACGGCCCAAACUCCUACGGGAGGCAGCAGUGGGGAAUAUUGGACAAUGGGCGCAAGCCUGAUCCAGCCAUGCCGCGUGAGUGAUGAAGGCCUUAGGGUUGUAAAGCUCUUUCACCGAUGAAGAUAAUGACGGUAGUCGGAGAAGAAGCCCCGGCUAACUUCGUG
rnacentral:rRNA from 1 species